UCCUACGGGAGGCAGCAGUAGGGAAUAUUGGACAAUGGGGGCAACCCUGAUCCAGCCAUUCCGCAUGCAGGAAUAAGGCCCUAUGGGUCGUAAACUGCUUUUGUAUGGGAAAAAAUCAUCUUACGUGUAAGGUGUUGAUGGUACCAUGAGAAUAAGGAUCGGCUAACUUCGUGCCAGCAGCCGCGGUAAU
rnacentral:rRNA from 1 species